rnacentral:lncRNA from 1 species
AUUUCUGCGUGCAUCUCAGGCAGAAAGCUGUAGGGGGAAUGCAACCUCUAAAGAAAGCAUGGGCCAGGGUUUCUAUUUUGUCAUCCAUGUAAUCGAUAGAUAGGUCAGUCAUCCUUGCACCUUCUAGUUUAGUUUAGAUCUCCUUCUAAGAGCCUUUAAGGUAGUAAUUCAGGGAGGAAACCAAUCCUCCUUCUCUGCAAAGAGCUGUUUGUGAGGCAGUGGAACAUAGGUGCUGGUCAGCUGCUGAUUACUCAGUAGAUGCAGGACCUGAUUUUAUUUUGAUUUAAGCCUUUAUUACGGACAUCCUUAAAGAGAAGGUGAAUCCUGUGGCUGGAUGAUGUUUUUUUCCCCUGCUGUGUUCUUACUGCCUUAUACAACAGCAUGAGCACUUUUCAGAUGAAGUGCCCGUAGUCUCAACUAUGAAACCUGGAGAUCUGAAUUCCCAGGCAGAUAAAAGGUAGGAAAACGAUCUGUAGACUUCAAGAAGAGUAAGUAAGAGACUUCCUGGCUAGCUGUAAUCAGUGCUGUAUGCACAUAUUGUACCUUUAAAGGAUUUAGGCAAAACUGGGAAAAAUGGAUGUCAUUAAUUAG